rnacentral:lncRNA from 1 species
UGGGCUGUGGGGGAGGGUCUCCCUGUUCUCCCCACAGGAAGACUCCAGUUUGCAAAAUUUUCUUCCUUCCUUCCUUCCUUCCUUCCUUCCUUCCUUCCUUCCUUCCUCUCUCUCCCUUUCUUUCUUUCUUUCUUUCUUUCUUUCUUUCUUUCUUUCUUUUUCUUUCUUUCUUUUCUCUCUUUCUCUCUCUUCUUUCUUUCUUUCUUUCUUUCUUCUUUCUUUCUCUCUCUCUCUCUCUCUUUCUUUCUCUCUCUCUCUCUCUCUCUCUUUCUUUCUCUCUCUCUCUCUUUCUUCUUUCUUUCUUUCAGAAACAACUCAGAGCAAACGUUUUAGAGAACGUGGGGAGAACUAACUAGAGCAGCGGAGAAUCCCCUGACGACCCAUCAUCCAGCUGAACGAGACGGAUACGUACGCGCGUGCAAACGUAAACUGUGCUCCAGGAGAUGAUGGCGUCACACCCUCCUGGUGGCCCCUGUCUUCUUGCUUUCUCGGUCUGUACCUUUGACUAUCCGGGGAUAUCCUGCAACAUCCUUCCCAUAAUCAUCGAUUCUGAGAACCCACUCUGUGCAUCGGUCCCUGGACACCUCUCAGGUGUCAGCACCACACCCACGCAGGUCUCCUGUGUGCCUGCCCCCCCCCCGCCCCCCCCACCCCAGGGCCACUCUGCUGGUAUCUGAGUGACCUAAGUGACUCAAAGACAGCUGUCUGUCUGUCCUGGAUUCCCAGCCACCUGACAGUGGGACCCA